AUUGAACGCUGGCGGCAGGCCUAACACAUGCAAGUCGAGCGAGCGGCGGACGGGUGAGUAAUGUCUGGGAAACUGCCUGAUGGAGGGGGAUAACUACUGGAAACGGUAGCUAAUACCGCAUACCCUCAGAUGUGCCAAGAUGGGAUAAGCUAGUAGGUGGGGUAACGGCUCACUUAGGCGACGAUCCCUAGCUGGGCUGAGAGGAUGACCAGCCACACUGGAACUGAGACACGGUCCAGACUCCUACGGGAGGCAGCAGUGGGUAAUAUUGCACAAGGGGCGCAAGCCUGAUGCAGCCAUGCCGCGUGUAUGAAGAAGGCCUUCGGGUUGUAAAGUACUUUCAGCGGGGAGGCGUUACCCGCAGAAGAAGCACCGGCUAACUCCGUGCCAGCAGCCGCGGUAAUUC
rnacentral:rRNA from 1 species